GAUGAACGCUCGCUGUGUGCCUAAUACAUGCAUGUUGAGCGGGAUGUAGCAAUACAUUCAGUAGCGAAUGGGUGAGUAACACGUACCUAACCUACCUUUAAGACUGGGAUAACUAUUGGAAACAAUAGCUAAUACCGGAUAUAGUUAUUUAUCGCAUGAUGAGUAAUAGAAAGGAGCUUCACAGCUUCACUUAAAAAUGGGGGUGCGGAACAUUAGUUAGUUGGUAGGGUAAUGGCCUACCAAGACGAUGAUGUUUAGCCGGGCCGAGAGGCUGUACGGCCACACUGGGACUGAGAUACGGCCCAGACUCCUACGGGAGGCAGCAGUAAGGAAUUUUCCACAAUGAGCGAAAGCUUGAUGGAGCGACACAGCGUGCAGGAUGAAGUUCUUCGGAAUGUAAACUGCUGUUAUAAGGGAAGAAAAAAUAGAAUAGGAAAUGAUUUUAUCUUGACGGUACCUUAUUAGAAAGCGACGGCAAACUAUGUGCCAGCAGCUGCGGUAAUACAUAGGUCGCAAGCGUUAUCCGGAAUUAUUGGGCGUAAAGCGUCCGUAGGUUUUUUGCUAAGUCUGGAGUUAAAUGCUGAAGCUCAACUUCAGUCCGCUUUGGAUACUGGCAAAAUAGAAUUAUAAAGAGGUUAGCGGAAUUCCUAGUGAAGCGGUGGAAUGCGUAGAUAUUAGGAAGAACACCAAUAGGCGAAGGCAGCUAACUGGUUAUAUAUUGACACUAAGGGACGAAAGCGUGGGGAGCAAACAGG
rnacentral:rRNA from 1 species